CAUUUGGGUGACGUUUACGGUACCCGGAAGUACAACCAGCGUGAGUGCUCAACUACGUCACUGCCUUCUUCGGCUGAGUUGGUGUGGUUUCACAAAAUACAAUGAACCACAGUGAAGAUUCCAAGGAGACGACGGUGCCUCACGUCGUGAAAGAAGAGAUCUUGGCAUCGGGUAAAUGGGUGAAGCUGGAGAAGACCACUUAUGUGGACCCGGCUGGAAACACCAGGAUCUGGGAGACGGUGAGGAGGACAACGAGGCAAAACAACUCUGACGCAGAUGGUGUCGGCAUCAUCGCGCUGCUGAAGAGGACACUGCACAAGGACUGCGUGGUGAUGGUGAAGCAGUUUCGUCCUCCGAUGGGAUGCUUCACGUUGGAGCUUCCUGCGGGCUUGAUCGAUGAUGGUGAGAGCGCGGAGACGGCCGCGCUGAGGGAGCUGAAAGAAGAAACAGGCUACAAAGGGGAAGUCGUCGGAGUGACGCCAGUGACUUGUCUGGAUCCUGGCCUGUCCAACUGCACCACCCAGAUCGUCAUGGUCAACAUCAACGGAGACGAAAUGGAGAAUAUCAACCCGACACAGCAGCUGGGUGAGAGAGAGAGAGAGAGAGAAGUUUUAUUUUCUUGUUUGGACCUGCGCUCGUGCGAAGGUUCUAAAAUGUAUCCAAGAUUCAUAAAAUGUGUAUCAAACUAAUUUUCCCUCUUGUGCUUUCAGGUGAUGGAGGUAAGUUGAGUCUUAUAUUUAUAAAAUAAAGCUCCAAGUGAAUAGUCAAUGAACAAACUGGACUUUUUUUUCCCCACCCUCAGAAUUUGUGGAAGUCAUCCUUGUACCCCUUGAUGAAUUCCAGAUGAAAAUAGAUGAGCUCCUGAAGAAAGAAAAAAUCGUGGUGGAUGCCAAGGUUUACAUUUUUGCCAUGGGCAUGGCGCAGGCAUUUUUCACGCCGAAGGAGCUCCCUGUGCUUAAGCAGUGAAACAACAUAGGACCAAACUCUGACGACCAUUUUAAGUUUCCUGAAUUGAUGAUGGUCAACUUUCCAAAGUGACAUUCCCAGUCCCCCAAAAGCAUCCAAUUGUUUUUUUAAUCACACAUUUGAGCAUAGGAAUUAUGAUCACCUUCAUAUUUCAGGUUUUAAUGACAUUCUGGUAAUUACAUUUUGUGACUUUUAUACGUUUCUUAACACAUUAUGUUUACUAAUUUAGUAUGUUGAGUACUUAUUGAUGGAAGGGUUAGGUCGUGCGUGUCCUUUUUUCCAAAUUUUAAUCACGGUUUCUCGAGUCCGUUCAUUUACUUAAUUACAAUGGUUUUAAUCAUGAAUACUGUAUGUUUCUGGUUUUACAAUUGUCAGUUCGUCUAUUAACAUUACCGUACACGUCGCUGAGGUUUUAGUCUCCUUCGAGUGUACUGUAAAAUACAAAAAGUUACUGUUAAACACAAUCCAUGCUGUGCCAUCAUCUCAACAUUGAUGCUGUAGUUACCACAGGGACUAGAAUUUUGAUGAUCAAUUAAUAAAUGCGUUACUACCUUUGA